ACAUAAUCUGACUGGUGGAUGUUUAGCAUUGUACGAAGGCAGCGUGGGUUAAGUGCCUUGUUAAUCAGCCAUUCUAGGAAGAGUACACGUCUUAACU